GGAGCGCUCGCACGUCCUCUGCGGCCGCUUCUGAGUGCGACACGCCUGUAGUUGGAGAUCCUUAAGUUACAUAGUUCUGUGUUAAAAUAGUUUCAUUCUGUUUAACAUGAUCCUUGGAAAAGCUAAGAAAAAAUCCGCCUAUCCUGUGCCUCGGCUGCCCGCCUCCAGCUGACUUUCCUCGCCAACAGUCAGGGAUCGGCUGUUGCUUCUCUUCUGAUCCUCGCCGGCUUGCCUUUUGGAGAGGCGAUAAACCUACUGAGAAGAUAGAAGACUUACUUUCAUCAUCUGAAUCAAAUCCAAAGAGUGUCUGACAUUUCUUUUGUGCAAGGAUGCUUGUCCUUUUUGACUGAGAACAGCUUCGGGAGGGACGCACAUGGAGCGGAGAGGGAAGAAGGGGACACCCGCCUCACCUGCCAGAUCAGGCGAAUCAACCCUGGCGAUCAACGAGGUGACAGAUGUCGCAGCCAGAUCACCUUCACAUCCAACUGGAAAUGCUGCAUCACCAACACUUUUGAUGCCACUGAAGACAAAAUGGUAUAGAGAAAGACACUGAUGACUGAAGUGGAAAAGCGAUUCCGGAGUCAGAUUCUGAAUGUGAAGAAGUUUUAGAUAUACCUUAGCCAAUUGAGUUUGCUUACAGUUUUCCUACUUUAUGUAUGUACCAGAGAGAUCAAUCAUAAAAAUCUGUUUUAAAUCGGUCUGAAAGCUCUCUUUCAAUAAACAUGAAAUAAAAUUCUAGGUGAGAGAAAGCACUGCACAAUUUUUCUGUUACUCUAAUAAUUUGCUUCCUAAAGGUAGAAUGCAAUACCCUUCGGUUAACAUAGUAAGCCUUGCUUGUUAGCACCAUAGAAAUAAAUGCAAGAUAUGGUGUCUGAACAACUUCACCCCUAGGGGGAGCUCAAAGUACAUCUUCCUUUAUUCCACCCCAGACACGUGCAAAGAGAUACUGCCAAGGACACAAUAGUGAGCCACAGUUCUAGGUAUUGCUUCUCAACUAAAUGGUAAAAACAUCAAAUGUUCUUCUAACUACAGGUGAGGUCUUAGAUCUUUCAGAUCCCUUCUGGAUUUACUCUUCACUCAUAGAGCACGUGCAAAAAAAACUUGCCUCCUUUCUUGGGAAGGUUAUUAAGAAAGUAGAUGAGAUAAUCAGGAAACAGCCAAGGGAAAAAGUGAUAUGGAACAGACAGCCUGCCUCUAGUCUAGGCAAAAGAGUCCUUUUUCUAGAGCUGAGUUCUACAUGGUGCUUUGGAACGAAGGCCUGUAGCAAUAAAAAGCAAGUAUACAUCCGGGACGUGCUUGGGAAUCUACAAGGGAGGUGGCAGCAAGCUCUAGUCUAGUAAAUGUGGAAUUAGAAUCCUAUCUAUGAUCUGUUUAGAAAUACAGCCAACAGUUAAUUUUAAGAACUUUCUUUUUCUUCCAAGAUAAUAGUAUCUUAAGCAUUGCCACCUUAGUAAAUAUAAAAACUUAUAAUCAAUAUACUAUUUUUAAGGGAAGGAUAAAAAUAAAGGCUAUUUUUAAAUGUAGACAAAAUGUUCAGUAGUUAA